rnacentral:hammerhead_ribozyme from 1 species
AUCCAGCCGACGAGUCCCAAAUAGGACGAAGGGAUGAGCGUCCAGAAU